UACCCGCGGCCCGAGUGGUGCUCAUUAUUAUUGAGCCUAAAGCGUCCGUAGCUGGCCGGGCAAAUCUCCGGGUAAAUCCGACGGCCCAACCGUCGGAAUUCCGGAGACACUGCUCGGCUUGGGAUCGGGAGAGGGAGAAGGUACUCCCUGGGUAGGGGUAAAAUCCUGUAAUCCGGGGGGGACCACCAGUGGCGAAGGCGUUCUCCUAGAACGAAUCCGACAGUGAGGGACGAAGCCCUAGGGCGCAAACGGG
rnacentral:rRNA from 1 species